rnacentral:rRNA from 1 species
CCGCUGCUACCCAGUACGACUACGGUGUUGACAACCACUCUCUCUUGCCAGAGCAACCAGACGUUGGAAUCCAGGAGCCAGACGCCACCGUUGAUGAUGACUACUACUACUCAGGAGGUGCCUACUACUACGUGUAGCCCGCUGACGACGACCGGGAGUAGUUUAGGAGGAUCCCAGGCAGGAGGCCUGCGCCUCUUUUGAUCUGUAUCCCAGUUUGUGCUAGCCUUCUUAAGGCAAACUUGUUUAACUUAUGUCUGUACUCAGAUAUUGUUGUUUCCGCUGACUCGUCUAUGAUCGAGCUCUUGUAUUCGAGCCCUCGAGGCCCCUGGCUUGUAAUAUGAUGCUUGUAUGACUUAUUUUAUUUGUAGAGUUGUGUUCUGAUAUCUUCCCAUGAGUUCCUGAUCUUGA